rnacentral:rRNA from 1 species
GAUGAACGCUGGCGGCGUGCCUAAUACAUGCAAGUCGAGCGAACGGACGAGAAGCUUGCUUCUCUGAUGUUAGCGGCGGACGGGUGAGUAACACGUGGACAACCUACCUAUAAGACUGGGAUAACCUCGGGAAACCGGAGCUAAUACCGGAUAAUAUUUUGAACCGCAUGGUUCAAAAGUGAAAGACGGUCUUGCUGUCACUUAUAGAUGGAUCCGCGCUGCGUUAGCUAGUUGGUAAGGUAACGGCUUACCAAGGCAACGAUCCAUAGCCGACCUGAGAGGGUGAUCGGCCACACGGGAACUGAGACACGGUCCAGACUCCUACGGGAGGCAGCAGUAGGGAAUCUUCCGCAAUGGGCGAAAGCCUGACGGAGCAACGCCGCGUGAGUGAUGAAGGUCUUCGGAUCGUAAAACUCUGUUAUUAGGGAAGAACAUAUGUGUAAGUAACUGUGCACAUCUUGACGGUACCUAAACAGAAAGCCACGGCUAACUACGUG